CCAAUAGCGUAUAUUAAAGUUGUUGCAGUUAAAAAGCUCGUAAUUGAACUUCGGGGUCUACCCAUUGGUCAGGCUUAAUUGUCUGCACUGGUGAGAUGGAUCUCUACCGUCUGAGGAACUUUCAUGCCAUUUAUUUGGUGUGGUUGGAAAUCAGGACUGUUACUUUGAAAAAAUUAGAGUGUUUAAAGCAGACUAUCGUCUGAAUACAUUAGCAUGGAAUAAUGAAAUAGGACGGACUGAUUCUAUUUCGUUGGUUUCUAGGAUCACCGUAAUGAUUAAUAGGGAUAGUUGGGGGCAUUAGUAUUCAAUUGUCAGAGGUGAAAUUCUUGGAUUUAUUGAAGACUAACUACUGCGAAAGCAUUUGCCAAGGAUGUUUUCAUUAAUCAAGAACGAAAGUUAGGGGAUCGAAGACGAUCAGAUACCGUCGUAGUCUUAACCAUAAACUAUGCCGACUAGGGAUCGGACGAAGUUAAUUUUAUAAUGACGCGUUCGGCACCUUACG
rnacentral:rRNA from 1 species